AAGGACGAAAAGCGGAAGCGCCGCGUUCGGCUCUCGAAGCCAAAUGUUCUUCACCCGGAGGGGUGCUGGCACCCCGAGGGGGAAGGUUAUUUGGCAGAAGAGAGCCAGGCGCUGGAGCUAGACAAUUCGAAAAGCGGAGGCCGCAAUGGCCAACUGUCGAUACGCAGCGCUUUCGUUUCGUUCGGUUUUGAGGGAAUGAGAAAUUCCUUCACUUGUUUUGCGCCUGCGUCUUCUAGCAGAUUCAAGGAAGAUGGAUUCCUCGACGCAAAGCUGCAAAGAAGCAGACUCAAGGCAGCAGCUUCGUUCCUUGAAAACUAGAUAACCGGAAAAGCGGAGGCGAGCGUUUCGCCGCGAUGGGCAAAUGUUCUUCGCCUGGAGGGGAUGUUCACAUCCCGAAGGCGAAGGUUAUUUGACCCCGAGCGGCGGCGAGCCGAAGCUAGACAGUAAGGAAGAAGCCGAGAGCGCUGUA
rnacentral:misc_RNA from 1 species